CCUAUUUCACUUCUUCUUCCCUCCGCUGCUCAAAACAAAUUUCUCAAUUCAAUUCAAUCUCAAUGCCCACCAAAUCUCUGCGAAAAAAAUGUCAAAUGAAGAUCGAAAUCUCAUUGCCGGAGCCCAUUUGGCUACUGUGGAAGCAAAGCGACGUCGUCAAACCGGUUGUUACUUGCUUUCCCAGUUGCAAAAUUGCGCUUCGGCCAAGUUUCAGAAAGUGCCUUUAAUUAAGUUUUUUUAAUAAUUUGUAAAAUCUUGCAUAUUUGCACUCAUAAUUAUCGUGGGCUUUGCUGAAUUUGAAAUAGUAAGGCUUUUGAUCCAAGAGUGCAUAAAGGAAAUGCUGAGUUAACUCGGCGGCGGCCAGACAACCGCUGAGAUGGAUCCACAGAUGAAUGCCCCCUUUUCCAUACGGCAUUUAUCUACUAAAUCCAUCUUACAUUAUUCUAUUUUAUUUCCUUUCAACUUCUGAUUUUUCGUUAAGUGUAGUAAAAGUUAGCAGGUUUGUUCCUGGGCAAGUUCAGAAUCAUGAUUAGGCGAGGUGGGGAUUGUGUAGUUUAACAUAAUCAGUAAACGCUGCGAUUGAUUUGAUGUACUGUUGGAUACCUGAAAUGUGCACACAGUGAAAAUCUUGCUGCAUGAUAAAUCUGCACCGUGAAAGUGUGUGGUGUGGGUAUGCAGCUGUUUUUCGUCUAUUGUAUUUCUUCGAACAACUGGGCAAGUGGCAGGUUUAAGUUCUGAAUCCGUUCAGCACUUGGCGUAAAGGAACAAGUACUUCAGUGAAGUAAUCUUCCUGGCUGAUCACUGCAAUAUUAUGUUAAUUGAGUUUACUAAGGAGCUUAGUGACUGUGUAUAAUAGGUGCUGUAUUUGUCAGUGUGUACUGCACCAAUGAUUAAAUUCAUACAGAAUAGUUGAGAUCUUAUGUAUUUGUUGGCAGUUGGUUUGAGAGCUGAUAAAUGGGCUUCUUACCGAUGAGAAUUCUGCUGUGACAUUUGUGCCUUGCCAUAUUGUACUCGGAUACUUCCAACAUAUGAACUUCGUUGCACUAUUUAAGUGCCAGAAGCAAUACGUUGGAUGUGUAGCAGUUUGUUAAAAUUGUCAUGCUGAGUUUUAAAUUGCCAUUUUUUAGGUUGAGGUUUAUGUGAAAUACAAAGUGAUCAAACCCUCGUAGGACAAUGGCGCUGGAGCUUCAGCGUAUGCUUAAAAGGGAAAUAGGGGAUCAGCUUUUACACUCUACAUUGCAAAUUAUUGGCAGAUUAUAAAACAAUACAAGUAAUGGGGCAUCUA